GUAGCAGCAUAAGCCAGGCUCUAUGGAAUGUUGGGUGAGCUGCUUGAGGAACUCCAAGGCCUGUCCCACAGUCUUCCAGCCUCCGACUCUCCGGCCCUCAGCGAGGUCAGCAGUGAGCUACUUUUGGAUCUGUUGGGAUCCCUGAGCCCGUGGUCCAGGGAGACUCUGAACAGGGAGAUCUUUUGUCAUGACAUGGUUGUCUCUUGUUGUGCAAGCAAGAGUCAGGGGACAAAUGACAUUGGCUUUAGCCCCCUGCCAGCAGUACCAGGGCCUCCAGGACGGGAGGGAAGGACCAGGCUGAGGCUGGCAUAUGGGAGAGAGCGUGUGUGCGCUGGCGUUUCACCUGCUAGGGCUGCCUUCUGCUGGGCUGUCCAUCUGGCACCAGCUGGCAUACCAGCUCCGCCCCCACAGCCAACCAGACUCCUUCGGCUGUUGCUAUGACAAUUGGCUGCCAUCUUGGUACUCAGGGCACUACCGUCUCUCUGACUUUUCCUGUGGGGCUCCUGAGGGACAGAAAAGAAGUCCCACUGGUUUUUUUGGUUGGUUUUUUUUUUUUUUUUUAAGGUUUUUUGGUUUUUUUUUUUUUUUCUCAUUCCUGUCUUGGGAGCUUUCCCCAACCAGGCUUCCCUCCCUCCCAGUGCUGAUUUCCUGUGGACCAGAUUCCAGCACAGUGGAGGGCCAGAGCUCAGGGAACAGACCCAGCAGCACAGCAAGUCUCCAAGGAAAGCUCUAGCAGUCUCCAGGGGCUGAAGGCAGGACUGGGGAAGCGGCUAGCCAGGCUGCAGAAGGCAAAUGCUCCCAGACGGCUGUCCAGCACGCAUCCGCCUUCCUAGCCAAGUUUCCUGGGCUCCUGCCACAGAUCUAAGCCUCAUCCUGACAUACCAAAAAGAAGACCUGACGUCAUCCUGAGCACCCCCGCCAUGCAGAGUGUGUUCGCAGACUGCCAACGGGCUGGCUCCGGCCAGCAGAAGUGAACAGAGGUGGAGGUUCAGCCUGACAGCUUCUCCCCAAAGCCAUGGAGAGAAAACCUUACCACCCCCACCGCCCAGCUACUUCCAGCAAGUUGUCCAGCCUGACCCCUCUAUUUCCCCUGUUGUCUCUUAUCUGGGUCCCUGAGACCCACCCCAUCUCCAAUAAAGAACAUUGCAUACUGUGCAUCAGUGUUGCCUUGGGUGUGCCAGGCAGGGUCGGGGGCGUGCUGGGUUCUCCAUACUAGAACACCACUACUGAACAACAUAGUCACACCAGGCAGGGCUCCCUAAAGCCUACCUGCAUGGCCAGCGUGGUCCGAGGACAGUGUGCUCUCCCCACCCUGUCUGCUAGCCUCCAGCUUCAUGGGAACUCCAUUAAUCAUGGGAUUCCGAGAUCAUCAGAGCAAUAGGAUCACUCCGUCUCCAGGGGAGCACAAGGCAAGAGCCAGAGCGGGACUGUUCUUCAGUCAAGGGGCAGGGGUUGCUGCCUCUCUCAGUAGAGGCUUUUUCUCAGAAAUG
rnacentral:lncRNA from 1 species